UACGUAGGGGGCAAGCGUUGUCCGGAAUCAUUGGGCGUAAAGCGCGUGUAGGCGGUCCGGUAAGUCGGUUGUGAAAGUCAAGGGCUCAACCCUUGAAUGCCGGUUGAUACUGUCGGGCUAGAGUCCGGAAGAGGCGAGUGGAAUUCCCGGUGUAGCGGUGAAAUGCGCAGAUAUCGGGAGGAACACCAAUGGCGAAGGCAGCUCGCUGGGACGGUACUGACGCUGAGGAGCGAAAGCCAGGGGAGCAAACGGG
rnacentral:rRNA from 1 species